UACGUAGGGGGCGAGCGUCGUCCGGAAUCACUGGGCGUAAAGGGCGUGUAGGCGGCCUGUUAAGUCAGGCGUGAAAACCCCGGGCUUAACCUGGGGACUGCGCUUGAAACUGGCGGGCUUGAGGGCAGGAGAGGAAAGUGGAAUUCCCGGUGUAGCGGUGAUAUGCGUAGAUACCGGGAGGAACACCGGUGGCGAAGGCAGCUCCCUGGGCCUAUCCUGACGCUGAGGAGCGAAAGCGUGGGGAGCGAACAGG
rnacentral:rRNA from 1 species